UUUAAAUUGAGAGUUUGAUCCUGGCUCAGGAUGAACGCUGGCGGCGUGCUUAACACAUGCAAGUCGAGCGAUGAAGUUUCCUUCGGGAAACGGAUUAGCGGCGGACGGGUGAGUAACACGUGGGUAACCUGCCUCAUAGAGUGGAAUAGCCUUCCGAAAGGAAGAUUAAUACCGCAUAACGUUGAAAAAUGGCAUCAUCAUUCAACCAAAGGAGCAAUCCGCUAUGAGAUGGACCCGCGGCGCAUUAGCUAGUUGGUGGGGUAACGGCCUACCAAGGCGACGAUGCGUAGCCGACCUGAGAGGGUGAUCGGCCACAUUGGGACUGAGACACGGCCCAGACUCCUACGGGAGGCAGCAGUGGGGAAUAUUGCACAAUGGGGGAAACCCUGAUGCAGCAACGCCGCGUGAGUGAUGAAGGUUUUCGGAUCGUAAAGCUCUGUCUUUGGGGAAGAUAAUGACGGUACCC
rnacentral:rRNA from 1 species